UCAGUGAAGUGAUUCUGGUAAGAGCCAUGAGAGGACUACCACAUGAGCAGCACUGAAGUGACACGUCUGUAGACUCUCAGAGAAUUACUGUCAGCACAGAAGUCUUUUGAGGAGCCCAGCGAGCGUCCAGUGGUGCCUCAACCUGCUCGACCAUAACGCUCUGUGGCCCAAAUGAAAAGCUUGGGAUAAGCCCAGCCUCAAGGUCACAAAAGUAGGUGUGCAAGAAGCAAAUCACUGGUUCAGACUUCCAGGCCAUCUGGGAAACAAUACGGGACAGGGAAAAUGCUUCCCGUUCUGUCUGACCUGAGGAGAGGCGUUUUGAAGAUGGAUGUCGCUGAAAUAACCAAAACAUCUCACACUUGUACUCUGUUCACUGCCGUUUAAUUCCUUAGAGGUUCAUCAGCAACGCCUCGCAGCAAGUUGUUUGCAGCGAGUUCUUAAAAAAAAAACAAAAAAAAAAACCUGCAUUUCAGCUCUUGUACUUUGUGUUAUUUCACACUGCAUUUCCAUCGUCGUGCUCAGCCACAACAUCAACAGCUGUGCUCACACUGAACAUAAACAGAGAGAGAAGCGGUGUUACUGUGUGUAACUCUGUCAUGGACGGAGAGUAAGAAGAAUAAAAUAAAGAUGCUGUUGAGUGAAGAGACGUCUGAUCUGGUCUGCAGUGACGUUCAGGUUUGUGUAAAAAACACUCGGCUCACAGUCAUGAAACAGAAGCUGGAACCAGAUUCCCUCCGUCUGCUUUAUCUUACUUAUCCUGGUCUAAGUCAUGUUAAUUUAAUUGGUUAAAUUGUUAGGAACAGUUGAUGAGAAGUACUAGAAUACUAUAAUAAUGAAUGUUUUCCCACCUCAUGUUCAUUAAAAACUAGUUAAAUGUUAUUGUGUGGGGUAUAAAAAAUACUUUAUCGACUUACAGAAACCCCGGUUUCCUAACAAAACAUCUCAUUUCUAGCGUUUGUGUCUUAAUUUACUAAAUUUCAUCGUCAGAAAUGCCAUUGCCCUGGAGAGGGGAAUGACUGUCUGAUAAUAAGUAGUGUUUCCAUGAUGACUGUUGCUCUGCUGUCGACAUUAGAAGUGGGAAAUGAGGAACGAACACAUAAAGGCUUUUUGCUGAACAUCACAGGGCUCUGUUAAAGUCUGCUAAUAACAUGGGAAAUCAAACCGGGCAGAGACGUGAUGAAGUUUGUUCUGUCAUCAGUUUGAUCUCAGUCUGUUUUCUUACUGUUUCUGUUGGUGCCCCCUCAGCGCUCCCAUUAAUUCCUCCUGAUUUAUGCAUCAAAAGACUGUUAUUUGCUAUUUGCACAUCCUUUUUCUGAGGCUGUAAAAUGAGAUACUGUAUAAAAUCGG